AAAAAGACAAACCCUGGUUUCCGUGUCCAACGUUUGACCGUCCGUCUUAUUUGAAAAAAAUAUAAAAAAAAUUAAAAAGACAAGUCACACAUAAAAUAUUAAUCAUAUUUUAUCAUCUAACAAUAAUAAAAAUACGAAUUAUAAAAAAAUUUCAUAUAAGACGGACAGUCAAAGUUGGACACGGAAACCCAGGGUUUGCCUUUUU
rnacentral:pre_miRNA from 1 species